rnacentral:snRNA from 1 species
GACUUGCAUAGGAUAAAGCCAUC